rnacentral:rRNA from 1 species
AUCUACUGGAACAUUAUUGACGCUAAGGCAUGAAAGCGUGGGGAGCAAACAGGAUUAAAUACCCUGGUAGUCCACGCCCUAACACCGAUGCACAUUAGUUGUUGCGAUGCUAGUCAUUGCAGUAAUGCACUUAACAGAUUAAGUGUGCCGCCUGGGGAGUACGGUCGCAAGAUUAAAACUCAAAGGAAUAGACGGGGACCCGCACAAGCGGUGGAGCAUGUGGUUUAAUUCGAAGAUACACGAAGAACCUUACCUGUGCUUGAUAUCCUAAGAAUCCUGUAGAGAUAUGGGAGUGCUAGUUUACUAGAACUUAGAGACAGGUGCUGCACGGCUGUCGUCAGCUCGUGUCGUGAGAUGUUGGGUUAAGUCCCGCAACGAGCGCA